rnacentral:tRNA from 5 species
CGGGAUGUAGCGCAGUUGGUAGCGCACUACGUUCGGGACGUAGGGGUCGCAAGUUCGAAUCUUGUCAUCCCGA